UGAUCCAAAACCUCCAUUUGUUCAUGAGAACGGGGUUUUGUGUCAUGACCAAAAUGGAGAACUGUGUCCGGUCAUGCCAGAACAUCUAAAAGUGUUAUUUACUCAAUAUAAUCAUGAAAGCUUAGGUCACAUUGGACAGCAGAAAUUGUUAGAGGUACUAAGAGAUAAGUUUUAUUGGGAUAACAUGGAAAAGACUGUACAACAGGUAGUGCAAUCAUGUUUGAUAUGUGCACAAAAAAAUCCCAGACCUAAAGGACAAAAACCGCCUAUACAACGUAUAGCACCUGCAAAUGGUCCUUGGACUACUUUACAAAUUGAUUUUAUUGGGCCAUUACCAACAGGCAAGAAUGGAUUAAAAUAUGCGUUAGUAGUUGUGGAUGUAUUCUCUAAAUGGUUAGAAGUAAUUCCUCUGACUAAAGAUGAUUCACAAAAAACAGCUGAAGCAUUAUGGACACACAUUUUCUCAAGAUGG